GGGUCUGUAGCUCGGUGGUAGAGCAUCUGCUCUGCAUGCAGAAGACCACAGGUUCAAUUCCAGGCAUGUCCA